rnacentral:rRNA from 1 species
GACAGAGGUGCCAAGCGUUAGGCGGAAUCACUGGGCUUAAAGCGUGUGUAGGCGGAUCGUUAAGUACCUUGUGAAAUCCCACGGCUCAACCGUGGAACUGCUGGGUAUACUGGCGGUCUUGAGCCACCUAGGGGCGAGCGGAACAAACGGUGGAGCGGUGAAAUGCGUAGAUAUCGUUCGGAGCGCCAACGGUGAAAACAGCUCGCUGGGGGUGUGCUGACGCUGAGACACGAAAGCCAGGGGAGCGAACGGG